AGCCUACCGUAUAAWUUAUUUUAGGUAAAUUCUGCCCAGUGUUAUUAUUAACGGCCGCGGUACACUGACCGUGCUAAGGUAGCAUAAUAAUUUGCCUUCUAAUUAAAGUGCUAGAAUGAAUGAAUAUUCUAGAAUGAAACUGUACCCCUUUAUAUAAUAAAAUUUAAUCUUCAGGUGAAGAAGCCUGAAUUCUACUAAAAGACAAAAAGACCCUAUCAAGCUAUAAUUUGUAAUUUAACCUAUAAAAACCAAAAUUGAUUGGGGAGAUUAUUUUAAGAUAAAAAUCUUUUAUUAAAUACAAGAGCCAUAACUCAUAAAAUUUAAAUAUUUAAUAUAAAAUAGCUACUGUAGGGAUAACAGGCUAAUACUCUCCAAGAGUUCAAAUUAAAGAGAGUGAUUGGCACCUCGAUGUUGGCUUAGGAAUACUUUUUUCAUGCAGAAAGAAAAAAAGUAGGUUUGUUCAACCUUUAAUCUCCU
rnacentral:rRNA from 1 species